AUUUAUUUUUUAAUUAUUAUAGUGCGGAUCUGCAGAUCCGCGGAUCGGAUAUGCGGAUGUAGAGCAGAUAUCCGCGAUCCGAUCCGAUCAAUUUACGGAUCGGAUCGUAUCCGCAAUUUUCGGAUCGGAUGCGGAUAUUUACUGCAGAUCUGUGGAUACGAUCCGAUCCAUGAACACCCCUAUUCAAGGAUGAUACUUUAGGCCGCUCUCAAGAGUGAGCAAACAUGAGAGAUGAUGAUGGUGCAAAAUGAGUAUUCUUUGGAGGGGAGUGUUUUUUAGAAGGAAUAUCGGGAGAAGCAUAUAGAACAGUCUGCAACAGUCCACUUGGGCUUGAGUUUCAGUUGCACAUCACAGAAGCUCUUUGUCCUACAUUAAGUGAGCCAGGUAAUUAAAAGGACACUUUCUACAUGUAUCCAUAUUGAAUCGAUACAAGUGACACAGAUGUUGUAUGAAGUUAAUAUAUCAUGUGUGCAGGAUUUCGUGCACUUCUCCACUUUAUGACAGGGUUAUGUGUCUGUCUAAACAGGGGAGAUGUAAAUUUGAAGGCCCAGGUUUCAAUUGCCUUAACUUUUCUCACCUUUGAGAAAAUCAGUUUUCAGAAGCUUGUUUUUGGACAAAGCUCAUCUAUUAUUCUAGCUUUUUGAGUCGUCUUUGAAUUUGAAUCAUGACAGUGAUCUAAUGAAGCUGCUGGGCACUCUCUUGUCUCAGUUGUUGUGGACCAUAUAUUUAUUUGCAUCAAAGAUUCUGAAUUCCAGCUUGAACUAUUAAUGCAAUCCCUUUUUCUCUCUUGGGUAAUUUCCUUGAUUAUAUUCUUUUUUGUGUCUUUAUUUGUGA